UACGGGGGGGGCAAGCGUUGUUCGGAAUUACUGGGCGUAAAGGGUCUGUAGGUGGCCAACUAAGUCAGACGUGAAAUCCCUCAGCUUAACUGGGGAACUGCGUCUGAUACUGGUUGGCUUGAGUGCAGGAGAGGAAUGCGGAAUUCCAGGUGUAGCGGUGAAAUGCGUAGAUAUCUGGAGGAACACCGGUGGCGAAGGCGGCGUUCUGGACUGCAACUGACACUGAGGAACGAAAGCCAGGGGAGCAAACGGG
rnacentral:rRNA from 1 species